GACGUAGGGCGCGAGCGUUGUCCGGAUUUAUUGGGCGUAAAGAGCUCGUAGGCGGCUUGUUGCGUCGACUGUGAAAACCCGCGGCUUAACUGCGGGCUUGCAGUUGAUACGGGCAGGCUAGAGUUCGGUAGGGGAGACUGGAAUUCCUGGUGUAGCGGUGAAAUGCGCAGAUAUCAGGAGGAACACCGGUGGCGAAGGCGGGUCUCUGGGCAGAUACUGACGCUGAGGAGCGAAAGCGUGGGGAGCGAACAGG
rnacentral:rRNA from 1 species